CAGGGGCCUAAAUGAUUGAGGAGUGAAAUUAGAUCAUGGCCUUUCAUGUUUGAAGGGAUAUAGUAUUACGAUAACUCUCAAAAAUCAAUAUUGUAUAAUGACAGAAGUUAAUAAUCUAAAUCAGCAGGAGCAAGCUUUGGAUGAGUGUAUAUACUAGCGAGAUGUGCGGAAAGCUAAGCGGGUUAAUGGAAGAUGAGAAUGGUCGAAGGUAAUCAGAAUUCUCCGGUUAGUUAUAAGAUGCUCUUUGGGUGUG